CUUAUUCAGCAAUACUUAUAUUUAUGCCAGUCGCCUUCCAAUUGAAUGACAUGUAAUGCAACCAAAUACAAGAUGAUUUGAUACAAUGAAGGAAUAAAAAUAAAAUUAUUUUCUAAUUCCAAGGGCCAGCGCUGGUUGUUCAAAGCCGAAUUAUAGCCCUAACACGAGUGACAAAAAACUCGAAAAAAUUCACCGCACACUAGAGCUUCCUGCAUGCUUAUAUAAGCACGCUGCCACGAAUGACAUUUUGCUAAGCAGAAAGCUCGAGCACAGAAUGGCUCUAGUGUGCGUCGGGCUUAACGUCUCAUUCAGAAUGACAAACGUUGUGAGGAUACCACUGGGACCACAAAUUAUUCAAACUUUAUGUUUUACAUGAAUACCAUCAUGCUGCAUGCGAUGUGAACAUGUUAACAUGGAAUACAAAUAUUUUCAGUAUAAAUAAAUGUUGAAAAGCCCUGACCGGG